rnacentral:rRNA from 1 species
AGCGAACGCUGGCGGCAGGCCUAACACAUGCAAGUCGAACGAACCUGUCGGGGUUAGUGGCGGACGGGUGAGUAACACGUGGGAACGUGCCUUUAGGUUCGGAAUAACUCAGGAAAACUUGUGCUAAUACCGAAUGUGCUCUUCGGGGGAAAGAUUUAUCGCCUUUAGAGCGGCCCGCGUCUGUUUAGCUAGUUGGUUGAGGUAAUGGCUCACCAAGGCGACGAGCAGGAGCUGGUCUGAGAGGAUGAUCAGCCACAUUGGGACUGAGACACGGCCCAAACUCCUACGGGAGGCAGCAGUGGGGAAUCUUGCGCAAUGGGCGAAAGCCUGACGCAGCCAUGCCGCGUGAAUGAUGAAGGUCUUAGGAUUGUAAAAUUCUUUCGCCGGGGACGAUAAUGACGGUACCGGGAGAAGAAGCCCCGGCUAACUUCGU